rnacentral:lncRNA from 1 species
CUAAGUUCUACAAUAGAGAAAGGAGCAUAAAGCUGGAAUCCACUAAUAAAAGCAUAAAGUGAUACAAGGAAAUCCCAAAUACAAGUGCUAAAGUAGAUACACAGGUGGUCUCUAUACAUGGAUACAAAAUCUCUCUCUCUCUCAACUACAAAAAGAAAGAGUAAACCACCUAGGCAAAGAACCGCUCCUCGCUAGCUAGCUAUGCGAUCCCCUUGCCGCGAUCCCGUGCCUCCGCCGGUGCAGAAUGCUCUGAAAGGAAACCAGAAAACAGGGGCGUGAGAACUAUUAAAAAUAGUUCCCAGUGGGCAAUUACUGACUUCAGUGAACUGCGCCACAANAGGCCCAAAAGCUACAAAAAGAGGUCAGUGACUAACAAUGUAGUAAAGCGAAAGGUAAGUAAAAUGUAACUUACUAUAACAUAGGGUCUCUACUUAGCAUGAUUUGCACAAGCAAUAAAGCAACGAUAUCAUGAAUGUACAUGGAUGUGUAUGACAUGCAUAAGCAUAAAAAUGGAACCAAUCCGAUGUCCUUAAUGCAAAAAUAGUAAAGAUGUCAUUGUUUACUAUUCUAGUCCAAGUCCACUUUAAUAGUUUUAAAGUCCACAUAGCAUGUUCUGUCACUAAGUCCCAAUCAUAUAAGACCCACCCGAAGGCUGUCUGGCCUGCGCCGUGCCUAAUGGCCCCGUGGUAGUCAACAUCCCCACUCUUGGGAUGAGCCUCCCCCACUGCAAUCCACUUCGGCGCCCAAUCCCGCACGGGCGAGCAUAUGUCGCGAUAGCUAUCUCCGGAGUGCCGGCUUGUAGGGAGCGACUCUCACAAGCAUGUGCGAAUGAGCACAAUGGCAAGCAAGCAAUGAUCUGUCUCAAGUACCAAGUCCUCAUGUCUAAAAAUAUGGAAUAUAUCAAGUAUCUCAAUGGCCUAUCUCUAUGUCAUUAUGUCUCUAACAUGGAAUAUAGCAGAUGUACAAUGGCCUAUCAUCAUGUCUCUAAGUUGCAGUUUCAUAGUUUACUAGUUUCAAGUGCCUCUUGAUGACACUUUUUGCUACUAAGUCCAAACAUAGUAUAAUGUUUCCUAUACACGAAUAUGAGCUAAAUUAGCAUACUAGACGAGAAUCCCAUUCGUCCACAUGAACACUCCCCACAUGCAUGAAAAUAACCUUGACUGCUCUACUAUAUAGAGUGAAAUUUAACUUACACAUAAGGCAUGCAUUUUAGGUGUUCUAAAAUUCACAUAAAUUUCAAUUAGCAUAGAAAUGCAUUUAAAAAUACUUUACGAAGAGUUUAGAAAGCAUAGGGGCCAUUUCGCCCCAUUUUCAUGAAGUCAAACCCACCAACGUUAAACGAAACCCUUCGUUUGCUCUGACGAAGGUGUCCUCUAGCCUCCUAGUAC